rnacentral:rRNA from 1 species
UACAGAGGUCUCAAGCGUUGUUCGGAUUCAUUGGGCGUAAAGGGCGCGUAGGCUGCGGGGCAAGUCGGGUGUGAAAUCUCAGAGCUCAACUCUGAAACUGCACUCGAUACUGCUUUGCUUGAGGACUGGAGAGGAGAUUGGAAUUCACGGUGUAGCAGUGAAAUGCGUAGAUAUGGGGAGGAACACCGGUGGCGAAGGCGGCCACCUGGACGGAUACUGACGCUGAGACGCGAAAGCGUGGGGAGCAAACAGG